GACGAACGCUGGCGGCGUGCCUAAUACAUGCAAGUAGAACGCACAGUUUAUACCGUAGCUUGCUACACCAUAGACUGUGAGUUGCGAACGGGUGAGUAACGCGUAGGUAACCUGCCUGGUAGCGGGGGAUAACUAUUGGAAACGAUAGCUAAUACCGCAUAAUAUUGAUUAUUGCAUGAUAAUUAAUUGAAAGGUGCAAUUGCACCACUACCAGAUGGACCUGCGUUGUAUUAGCUAGUAGGUGAGGUAACGGCUCACCUAGGCGACGAUACAUAGCCGACCUGAGAGGGUGAUCGGCCACACUGGGACUGAGACACGGCCCAGACGACUACGGGAGGCAGCAGUAGGGAAUCUUCGGCAAUGGACGAAAGUCUGACCGAGCAACGCCGCGUGAGUGAAGAAGGUUUUCGGAUCGUAAAGCUCUGUUGUAAGAGAAGAACGGGUGUGAGAGUGGAAAGUUCACACUGUGACGGUAUCUUACCAGAAAGGGACGGCUAACUACGUG
rnacentral:rRNA from 1 species